CUACGGGUUGCAGCAGUCGAGAAUCUUCCACAAUGCACGAAAGUGUGAUGGAGCGACGUCGCGUGCGAGAUGAAGGCCUUCGGGUCGUAAAUCGUUUUUAUAAGGGAAGAAUUUAGAUGACAUUACCUUAUGAAUAAGGGGUUGCUAAUUGCGUGCCAGCAGCAGCGGUAAUACGCAAACCCCAAGCGUUAUCCGGAUUUAUUGGGCGUAAAGGGUGGGUAGGCGGAUAUAGCAGUCAGUCGUUAAAUCACUGGGCUCAACCCAGUAAUCGCGAUUGAAACACUAUGUCUAGAGAUAAGUAGAGGUCAACGGAACUCAUGGUGUAGCAGUGAAAUGCGUUGAUAUCAUGGGGAACACCAAAGGCGAAGGCAGUUGACUGGGCUUUAUCUGACGCUGAGCCACGAAAGCGUGGGGAGUGAAGGGGAUUAGAUACCCGCGUAGUC
rnacentral:rRNA from 1 species